UACGAAGGGGGCUAGCGUUGUUCGGAAUUACUGGGCGUAAAGGGCGCGUAGGCGGCCUGCUAAGUCAGACGUGAAAUCCCCAGGCUCAACUUGGGAACUGCGUCUGAUACUGGAUGGCUUGAAUUCGGGAGAGGGAUGCAGAAUUCCAGGUGUAGCGGUGAAAUGCGUAGAUAUCUGGAGGAAUACCGGUGGCGAAGGCGGCAUCCUGGACCGAGAUUGACACUGAUGAGCGAAAGCUAGGGGGAGCAAACGGG
rnacentral:rRNA from 1 species